rnacentral:lncRNA from 1 species
CAAAACUGUGAAUACUAAGAACCAAUCUCUCUCUCUCUCACUCUCUCUCUCUCUUCAGGAACAUGACACCCCCUGCAUGUUAAGUCCAUGAGACCAUAGGUGUCCCAUUGGUCAUUUUAGCUCUCAGAAGGGUGCUCGCGAGUGUCCCCUUUUUGGCUGCUAUGCGCGCUCGAUGCGCACUUCCACCCAGCCUGCACUGAGGCGAGCUCCGCAACAGACUUCUACCCAUCAGUCAAAGUGGCAUUACGUCACAAAGAAUGACCUUCACACUGCAUUCGUCACUUUUGGGUCAAGUUACAUUCAGAUGACCACCAACAUGCAACUUCCAGAGACCCAGAAAUAUUUUUUUGCUGAUGCAAAAAAUUCCCAAAGGGCCCAGAAGACUAGUGGCUAUCUCUCUUAGGUUUCCACGACCUAAGUGGUUGGUAAGUUUAGGUGUGUGGUGUGGUGCACGUUUCCUCGAAGAAAGAAAUACUGAGCACAUCCCAUCAUCGAUGUAGAUGAAGGAAAUAAUUUUAAUGUGGCUCUCUACAUCACCCAGACUCAUGAUGGAGGCCUAUCGUUGUGUGUUCAAGCCUAUCGCGACGUUUCGGAUUCUGUGAUACUUCCUCAGGCGAGCUCUGAACACUAAAUGGCUGGAAUUCUCUACAGCAGCCAUGUAUGUACUGUUUUUCUAAGGGGGCGUGUUCCCCCACACACACGAAAUCACCAAACAUCAAACAUAUUGUGCUUCGAAAUUAAAUUUAUUGUCAACAAACCGUUGUUUUUAUUGUUUUUGCAUCCUCAAAAAAAUAAAUCCAGGACUCGAGUCACCACAGAUUAUCAUCUGAUUAAUUACAAACCAUACCUGCAGUAAAGCAAGGAAAGCAAUAAUUUUACUUUUAAGCAACGCCAGGAGAGAAAGUGUGUCUUGACCAACGGAAUAGUAAGUAUUUAGAUCAAACUAAUUAAAUGUUAUUUAUUCUAUAAUUGCCUGAAAGAUGCAGAAAAGUUUUUUUUAAUAAAAUAAUUUGUAGUAAUUGCGUGGUUUUUGUUCAGACUGUGUUAGAGUGUCAGUGUUGUCACACAAUCAUGAGAAUCAUUGCAAUGAUUAAUAAUAUAAAAUAUAUUUUUGAAUCAUAACUACAGAAACAAAAUGGUAAAUACCUACUAAGAUCUAUAUCAAGAUCUUUCUCUCUCUCUUUCCAGGAGCAUGGCACCCCCUGCAGCUCACUGCAUCGCUCAGUGUCAUGAGACCAUCACUUUUGAGUCAAGUCACAAACUGAUAAUCUCUCCUUGAAUAAUAUAAAAUGUUCAUUCAUGUGGAAAAGAAAUGUUGUUUAUUUCCAUUGAAUAAAUUAUGAACACUGCAAUGUGUUUGUGUUCUUUUUUUUACUGUUUAAUACUGGCCUUCUAAC